rnacentral:rRNA from 2 species
UGCCAGUGAUAAACUGGAGGAAGGUGGGGAUGACGUCAAGUCAUCAUGGCCCUUACGACCAGGGCUACACACGUGCUACAAUGGCAUAUACAAAGAGAAGCGACCUCGCGAGAGCAAGCGGACCUCAUAAAGUAUGUCGUAGUCCGGAUUGGAGUCUGCAACUCGACUCCAUGAAGUCGGAAUCGCUAGUAAUCGUAGAUCAGAAUGCUACGGUGAAUACGUUCCCGGGCCUUGUACACACCGCCCGUCACACCAUGGGAGUGGGUUGCAAAAGAAGUAGGUAGCUUAACCUUCGGGAGGGCGCUUACCACUUUGUGAUUCAUGACUGGGGUGAAGUCGUAACAAGGUAACCGUAGGGGAACCUGCGGUUGG